rnacentral:rRNA from 1 species
AUUGAACGCUGGCGGCAGGCCUAGCACAUGCAAGUCGAACGGUAGCACAGAGAGCUUGCUCUCGGGUGACGAGUGGCGGACGGGUGAGUAACGUCUGGGAAACUGCCCGAUGGAGGGGGAUAACUACUGGAAACGUUAGCUAAUACCGCAUAACGUCGCAAGACCAAGGUGGGGGACCUUCGGGCCUCACACCAUCGGAUGUGCCCAGAUGGGAUUAGCUAGUAGGUGGGGUAAUGGCUCACCUAGGCGACGAUCCCUAGCUGGUCUGAGAGGAUGACCAGCCACACUGGAAGUGAGACACGGUCCAGACGCCUACGGGAGGCAGCAGUGGGGAAUAUUGCACAAUGAGCGCAAGCCUGAUGCAGCCAUGCCGCGUGUAUGAAGAAGGCCUUCGGGUUGUAAAGUACUUUCAGCGGGGAGGAAGGCGGUGAAGUUAAUAACUUCACCGAUUGACGUUACCCGCAGAAGAAGCACCGGCUAACUCCGUGCCAGCCGCCGCCGUAA